GCGGGGAUUGCAGCGCCAGGGCGGGCGAGUGGCUCGGAGCAAGCAAGGAGCUGAUGCUGCAAAGCCUCUCGACGGGGACCAUGAGGAGCACAGAGCGGGAAGAAGAGGGAGAAGGAGGAGGAGGAGGAGGAAGAAGGGGAGGAAGGGGAGGAAGAGGAGGCGAAGGGGGAGAAGAGGCGCGCGGAGAGGCAGCGCGGUAGAGACUCCAGCCCACCCGCUUGACUAUGGCUGGGGGAAGGCGAGGGCUGGUGGCUCCCCAGAAUACCUUCCUGGAGAACAUUGUGCGGAGGUCCAACGAUACCAAUUUUGUCCUGGGUAAUGCCCAGAUAGUGGAUUGGCCCAUUGUGUAUAGCAAUGAUGGAUUUUGCAAGCUCUCAGGAUACCACAGAGCAGAAGUUAUGCAAAAAAGCAGCACCUGCAGUUUUAUGUAUGGAGAGUUGACGGAUAAAGAAACAGUAGAUAAAGUACGGCAAACAUUUGAGAACUACGAGAUGAAUUCCUUUGAAAUCCUAAUGUACAAGAAGAACAGGACUCCUGUUUGGUUCUUUGUGAAAAUUGCUCCAAUUCGAAAUGAACAGGACAAAGUUGUUUUGUUUCUCUGCACUUUCAGUGACAUAACAGCUUUCAAACAGCCUAUUGAGGAUGACUCAUGCAAAGGCUGGGGAAAGUUUGCCCGCUUAACCCGUGCCCUCACAAGCAGCCGGGGAGUCCUUCAGCAGCUUGCCCCAAGUGUCCAGAAAGGAGAGAAUGUUCAUAAACAUUCCCGUCUUGCUGAGGUCUUACAACUGGGCUCUGAAAUCCUUCCACAGUACAAGCAAGAGGCACCAAAGACUCCACCACAUAUUAUUUUACAUUACUGUGUUUUCAAGACCACAUGGGAUUGGGUCAUCCUGAUUUUAACCUUCUACACAGCUAUUUUGGUCCCUUACAACGUCUCAUUUAAAACCAAACAGAACAAUGUGGCCUGGCUGGUAGUGGACAGCAUUGUCGAUGUCAUUUUUCUGGUAGACAUUGUGCUUAAUUUCCAUACCACUUUUGUCGGUCCAGCUGGGGAGGUCAUCUCAGACCCAAAGCUGAUCCGCAUGAAUUACUUGAAGACCUGGUUUGUCAUUGACCUUCUUUCCUGUUUGCCCUACGAUGUGAUCAAUGCAUUUGAGAAUGUCGAUGAGGGCAUCAGCAGUCUGUUCAGCUCACUGAAAGUAGUCCGACUGCUUCGUCUGGGACGUGUGGCUCGGAAACUGGACCAUUAUAUUGAGUAUGGAGCAGCGGUUUUAGUUCUGUUGGUUUGCGUCUUUGGUCUCGCAGCCCACUGGCUGGCCUGCAUUUGGUACAGUAUUGGAGAUUAUGAAGUUGUCAAUGAGGAUAAAACAACCAUAAGAAAUGAAAGUUGGCUCUAUCAGCUGGGGGAGUCUAUAGGAUCACCUUAUCAGUUGAACAUGACAACUGGAAAAUGGGAAGGAGGACCAAGCAAAGAUUCAGUUUAUAUUUCUUCAUUAUACUUUACAAUGACAAGUCUAACAAGCGUUGGUUUUGGGAACAUUGCACCCACCACAGAUGGAGAGAAGAUCUUUGCUGUUGCCAUGAUGAUGAUCGGCUCUCUGCUAUAUGCAACGAUUUUUGGUAACGUGACAACUAUCUUCCAGCAAAUGUACGCUAAUACGAACAGAUACCAUGAAAUGCUGAACAGUGUCCGAGACUUCCUGAAACUCUACCAAGUACCCAAAGGCUUGAGCGAACGUGUGAUGGACUACAUCGUUUCUACUUGGUCAAUGUCCAGGGGCAUCGAUACAGAAAAGGUUUUACAGAUCUGCCCCAAGGACAUGAGAGCGGAUAUCUGUGUUCAUCUGAAUCGGAAGGUUUUUAAAGAGCACCCUGCUUUCAGGCUGGCUAGCGAUGGGUGUUUGCGAGCUCUUGCUAUGGAAUUUCAGACUGUGCACUGUGCCCCCGGGGACCUCAUUUAUCAUGCCGGAGAGAGUGUGGACAAUCUUUGCUUUGUGGUCUCAGGAUCUUUGGAAGUCAUCCAAGAUGAUGAAGUUGUUGCGAUUUUGGGCAAAGGAGAUGUUUUUGGAGAUGUCUUCUGGAAGGAAACUACUCUAGCCCAGUCUUGUGCUAACGUAAGGGCUUUGACUUACUGUGACCUUCACGUGAUUAAAAGGGAUGCCUUACAGAAAGUGCUGGAAUUCUACACAGCUUUUUCACAUUCUUUCUCCAGGAACCUCAUUCUGACAUACAAUCUGCGGAAAAGGAUCGUCUUCCGCAAGAUCAGUGAUGUUAAAAGAGAAGAGGAAGAGAGAAUGAAAAGGAAGAAUGAGGCCCCGUUAGUCCUGCCACCAGACCAUCCUGUCCGCCGACUUUUUCAAAGAUUUAGGCAGCAAAAGGAAGCUCGCUUAGCUGCUGAGAGAGGCAGAGAGGAGCUAGAUGUUGAGAAAGGCAAUGCUCUGGGAGACAACCCUUCACGCACUGUGGUCAAAGCCAGCAUUGUAACAGUCAGGGAAAGCCCUGCCACGCCAAUUGCCUAUCAGUCAGCUUCAACAUCUGGAGCCUCUGACCAGGCCAAAUUGCAAGCCCCUGCCUCAGACUAUGUAGUGGGGAAAGUGGCAGGGGAUUAUCCAAAGCGUAAGGGUUGGGCCAAAUUCAAAGAUGCCUGUGCAAAAGGAGAGGACUGGAACAAAGUGUCCAAAGCAGAGUCCAUGGAAACGUUGCCAGAGAGAACAAAAGUGGUAGGGGAAGCCACUUUGAAGAAGACUGACUCUUGUGACAGUGGCAUCACUAAAAGUGACCUGCGUUUGGACAAUGUUGGGGAGACGAGGAGUCCUCAGGACCGCAGCCCUAUCCUGGCAGAGGUCAGACACUCAUUCUAUCCUAUUCCUGAACAGACGCUUCAAGCAACAAUGCUGGAAGUGAAACAUGAGUUGAAGGAGGACAUCAAAGCUUUAAAUACAAAAAUGACCAAUAUAGAAAAACAGCUUGCUGAGAUACUAAGGAUAUUAGCCUCUAGAAGAAGCUCCCAGACACCACAGGAGUUGUUUGAAAUAUCAAGACCUCAGUCUCCAGAGUCAGAAAAAGACAUUUUUGGAGCAAGCUGAGGUGCUUCUUUAAAACAGGAGAUCUGAAUAUCCCCACAAACACAAUCUAACACCCACUAAACAUUUAAAAAAAACAUUUACUGUUUUCUUGGUGAACACCAUAUUUGAGGGGCCAGCCCAUUAAUCUGGUCCCUCUUCUCUAAAUGGUACAGUUACAAGAGUGGUGACCUCAUGUCAAGAUGGCAGCUGAAUCAAGUCUUUUUGACAGCAAGGCGCUAUCCCGAUUUUCCAGAGAACAUCCAGCUUCGAAGGUGAUGUUCUACUUCUACAGUACUUCACUGUAAUGAAUUGAAAGAGCUAUUUACUGUAAACAUCUCUGUGAUUUUUGUUUCCUUGUUUUGACUCAGUGUAGCGUUUAGUGUGGAACCAUGAAAAAAUGAUUUUAAUUUUUUUGUGUCUGUGUUUGUGCAGAUACACAACACUCAAGUGUGCACUGGUUUGAACUAUAGUUAAUGUUACUGAACUAGUAACAGCGUAUAUCUCACUUUAUGAUCAUGGUAAUAAGAAGAAGUCUUCCCUGGUGGACAAUCCGUCCAGUAUAAAGGACAUGUUUCCCAACGGGUUGUGAUAUUAUUUCAGUUGUAAAGUUUCAUAAGAUUGAAGCUGUGCUGCCAAGGUAUGACCAAAGAAAUAUCAGUAGAACCAGAAUUCUUGUGCAGAUGUGACAGAUUAGAGUAUAUUUUUGUUGCAUUGGGGGUCGCUGGUUGCUUCCAUGUCUGCAAUGUGGGCCUUCUAUUCUACAUUUUAGUCCUGAUGUUACAAUUGCAAGCUCAAAUUUAUCUUCAAAAUAGCAUCUUGAAUAUCUCCUUGAAGAUUGAGACUAACUCCUGGGGCAAAUUUAUCACCCACUGGUUUGGAAACCAUCAACUGCUACUAUUCAGUAUAAAUAAAGUAGUAGUCACAUUUGACCUUCGGUAAAGUUUAUGUCUACAGAGACUGAAUGUCAGUAUACGAUAGCAAAUGAAUGGCAUGAAUCCACACACCAUCUUGAUUAGUAUGAUCACAUUACUCACCCAGUUGCUUGUACAUAAGUAGGCUUUGAAAGAAGAGCUGAUGCAAACUAUAUCUUUGUUUACCUCAUGAUUGGAAUCCCAUAUCAGAAGGAUGAAUCUAUGAACUCAAAGGGACAGUCUGGUCCAUCCAAGACCAGUUGUUGAUGUACAUGCCUGCUUACAUGUAACAUUGGGCCACUGAUUUUAAAUAUUGAAAAAGUUCACUUCACAUGAUUGCUAUAGCUAAAAGUUAUGAUCAUCCAAGCCUGUUGCCACAAAACUUUUUUUUGCUAGGUUUGUAAUAGGAACUGUAAGGAUUAAGCUUUAUAAAGACAUAAAGCUGUGCCACAGUGCCAGAGACUUAUGUGGGCAAUGAUAUUGGGAACCAAAAGGCUGUGUUGGCAAAUUGGACAAUUCUUGUACAAACCUUCCCCAUCACACCAUUAUCCUUACAGCAGGUUUUCUAACAGCUUCUUUACUUUCCAACUUGUUUCGGACUACUGAAAUGUAUUGCAACUGUAUUUUUGCGCAGCGAUAUCACACUGGUGCAAUCCUAUAUUACUGGCGACAAGAGUCAAUGUACUGAAUCAAUGG